GGGGCUGACAGGUAUUCGAUUGCGUGUCAACUUACUGAGAAGCGUGCCGGGAAGCAACGCCCGUAACAGUGCAACCACAAUAACUGCAGCUUCUGCUCAGUCCGACUACGCCCUAGCUGCGUAGUCCGGUGGGGUACAACGGUUUACCCGUUCCGUGUACCAAUCCACCGUCGUGAAUACGGGGAACCUGGGAGAAGGUCACAACUUCCCACCGUCCAGUCAACGUAGGGAGGUUGCCGAAGCUCGGUGGGGAACCCGAGACGGUCAGGCGUCCACUGCGACCGGAUAAACGGUGGACUACGCACGUAGAAGGCUGUGACAAGUCGCGUAACAUCCCGGUUCAAUUCCGGGCAGCUCCAC
rnacentral:tmRNA from 1 species